rnacentral:rRNA from 1 species
UACGUAGGGUGCGAGCGUUCUUCGGAAUUACUGGGCGUAAAGCGUGCGCAGGCGGUUUUGUAAGUCUGGCGUGAAAUCCCCGGGCUUAACCUGGGAACUGCGUCUGAUACUGGGAGGCUUGAGUAUGGGAGAGGGAUGUAGAAUUCCAGGUGUAGCGGUGAAAUGCGUAGAUAUCUGGAGGAAUACCGGUGGCGAAGGCGGCAGCCUGGACCAUAACUGACGCUGAGGCGCGAAAGCUAGGGGAGCAAACGGG